rnacentral:rRNA from 1 species
UACAGAGGGGGCAAGCGUUAUUCGGAAUUAUUGGGCGUAAAGGGCGCGUAGGCGGCGAUUCAAGUGACGGGUGAAAUCCCUCGACUUAACCGAGGAACUGCCUGUCAGACUGGAUUGCUUGAGUCCGGGAGAGGCGAGUGGAAUUCCCAGUGUAGCGGUGAAAUGCGUAGAUAUUGGGAGGAACACCAGUGGCGAAGGCGGCUCGCUGGACCGGAACUGACGCUGAGGCGCGAAAGCGUGGGGAGCAAACAGG